GAAAUAAAACGCUUACUGUCGGCCCCCCUUCUCUGCAGACAUCCAGAUGAGGAGCCUGUAUUCAAGGUGGUGACUGGGCCACGCAGCCACGCCCUUCCCUGGGGGUGAGCCCUUCCCUCAGGGUGCAGCCUUCUCUCUGGGUGCUCCCUUCCCUAGGGGUGCAGACUUCUCUCUGGGUGCUCCCUUCCCUUGGGGUGCAGACUUCUCUCUGGGUGCUCCCUUCCCUCAGGGUGCAGAUUUCUCUCUGGGUGAGCCCUUCCCUCAGGGUGCAGCCUUCUCUCUGGGUGCGCCCUUCCCUCGGGGUGCAGCCUUCUCUCUGGGUGCUCCCUUCCCUCAGGGUGCAGACUUCUCUCUGGGUGCUCCCUUCCCUCAGGGUGCAGACUUCUCUCUGGGUGCGUCCUUCCCUAGGGGUGCAGCCUUCUCUCUGGGUGCGCCCUUCCCUCGGGGUGCAGACUUCUCUCUGGGUGCGCCCUUCCCUCAGGGUGCAGACUUCUCUCUGGGUGCGCCCUUCCCUAGGGGUGCAGACUUCUCUCUGGGUGCUCCCUUCCCUCAGAGUGCAGACUUCUCUCUGGGUGCGCCCUUCCCUAGGGGUGCAGACUUCUCUCUGGGUGCUCCCUUCCCUCAGGGUGCAGACUUCUCUCUGGGUGUGCCCUUCCCUAGGGGUGCAGACUUCUCUCUGGGUGCUCCCUUCCCUCAGGGUGCAGACUUCUCUCUGGGUGCGCCCUUCCCUAGGGGUGCAGACUUCUCUCUGGGUGCUCCCUUCCCUCGGGGUGCAGACUUCUCUCUGGGUGCGCCCUUCCCUAGGGGUGCAGACUUCUCUCUGGGUGCGCCCUUCCCUAGGGGUGCAGACUUCUCUCUGGGUGAGCCCUUCCCUCGGGGUGCAGAAUUCUCUCUGAGUGAGCCCUUCCCUCGGGGUGCGCCCUGGCACGUGUUGCCUCCCCACUCACUGCUCUUUCUUGCUGCCUCCUUCCUGGCGAGUCCCUUCCCGCUGUUGCUCACUGUCUGCUGAUUUCUGAUCACUUGUCUUCCCUCUUGAGCUUGGUGAACAGACCAGCAGGAGGGUACAGGAUGGUCCCCACGAUCCCCCGAACAUUUCUAAGACCAAAACCAAAAAGCCCAAGUGAGAGGAGGGACCCCACUCGGGGCUCGGAAAGCUGACCUGAUGCCUGGCGCCCCGCGGUGGCGUGGGGUGGUCUUGCGUGGCUGUGGACCCCUCAACCAGGCAGGCGAGAGCGGGGAGGGAAGUGGGUACAAGUGAGCAAGUGUGUGAGUGUGUGGGAGUAUUACUGUUAGUGUGUGUGUGUCUGAGUGUAUGUGUGACUGUGUGUGUGUCUGAGAGUGUGUGUGUGAGUGUGUGGGAGUGUGUGUGUCUGAGUAUAAGUAUGUGUGUCUGAGUAUGAGUAUAUGUGACUGUGUAUGUGUGUCUGAGUGUUAGUGUGUGUGUGUCUGUGUGUUAGCGUGUGUCUGAGUGUGAGUAUGUGUGACUGUGUAUGUGUGUCUGAGAGUCAGUGUGUGUGUGUGUGUCUGCAUUUAGUGUGUGAGUGUGUGUCUGAGGGUUAGUGUGUGUGUCUCAGUGUUAGUGAGUGGGAGUGUGUGUGAGUGUGAGUGGGCGUCUGAGUGUUAGUGUGGGAGUGUGUCUGAGUGUGUGUAUCUGUUAGUGUAUGAGUGUGAGUGUGUGCAUGCUGGGAAGAGGCAUGGGCUAAGAAUAAAAUACUUUCCCAAAGUGUAGCAAAUAAUAGCAAAGUUCACCCAUCAGUUCUCCUGCCUUAAGCAACUAUGGGCUUUCACUCUCCAACUUUCUUCUCUCUCUCUCACACACACACACACACACCAUGAGACAUCUGAGCUCUCCUGGCAAGGUUGGGCUCCCUGCUGCCCCCGCAUCCCCUCACUUACACCAAAUUCUGUCCCCCUGACUGGAAUGUUUGGGGUGAGAGCCCCUCCUUCGUCCUGUCUGCACCAGUGUCAGCUGAACAUGUUAGGACGUGUGGCCACCGCCUCUCGUGGACCCUGGAACAACCUCCCGUUCGCACAGGGGUCCACUCCUAAUCUUCUGGAGGUGCCAUCAUGGGAGAUGACCAAACUCUCCUGAAAAGUCUUGCGCAGUACCGUGAUCAAUAAAACUAGGAGAGUAAACAGAAUGCUCUGAAUUUGGAGCCAGAAAACCUUGAUUCAAGUCCUUCAUGUGGCCUUGGGCAAAUCACUUAACCUUUCUGAGCCUGUGCCCUCAACGAUAUCUUCCUGUUUCUUAAGGUCAAUGUGAUGUUUAAUGAUAAAUAACUCUUAAAAGGGCUUUGCAUCAUGCUUGGGCAUUUUGGCUAUUCAAGAACCUCACACUGCAUGAAGAAAGAUGCAUUCUGUGUGGCUCUGGAGGCUUUUCAAGCAGAGAGAAACAGCAGGUUCACAGCCCUCAGCGUGUUCCUCCUCCUGCUCACACUUCACCCUUCACCCUGGCUGACCUGCGUGUGCAAAACACGGUCUUGAGCUCCCACAGACCGAGGAGAGGGGGCCCAUUCCGCUGCAUCUCCCCAGGGCACCGGCAAGAGCAGGCAAAGCCUCGUUGACUGAAUUCACGGAGAGCAGAGACUGUGCCCAGGCCUCCACCCCAGGACUUCUGUGUUGUGUGAGACAUGCUAGUGAUGCUGCUUUAAGCUCUGCUUUAAAAAUGGUCCUUUGACAGAUUCUGAAUGCAAACGGUCUCCUUACCAGAUCCCGUGGAAUAAGGAGGACAACUUAUCACAACUUCCUCAUUGUAAAAUCCCGUUCAGAUUGCAGUUGAAGAUCACAAAUUGUCUGUGUUUCACUUUGUGAUGUUUGUGGUGUCUAAUACAGCAACACAAGCCUGGGUU